GAUGAAGAACGUAGCGAAAUGCGAUAAGUAAUGUGAAUUGCAGAAUUCAGUGAAUCAUCGAAUCUUUGAACGCACAUUGCGCCCCCUGGUAUUCCGGGGGGCAUGCCUGUUCGAGCGUCAUUUCACCACUCAAGCCUCGCUUGGUAUUGGGCAACGCGGUCCGCCGCGUGCCUCAAAUCGUCCGGCUGGGUCUUCUGUCCCCUAAGCGUUGUGGAAACUAUUCGCUAAAGGGUGUUCGGGAGGCUACGCCGUAAAACAACCCCAUUUCUAAGGUUGACCUCGGAUCAGGUAGGGAUACCCGCUGAACUUAAGCAUAUCAAUAAGGGAGGA
rnacentral:misc_RNA from 1 species